AGCGAACGCUGGCGGCAGGCCUAAAACAUGCAAGUCGAACGCCGUAGCAAUACGGAGUGGCAGACGGGUGAGUAACACGUGGGAACGUGCCCUUUGGUCCGGAACAACCCAGGGAAACUUGGGCUAAUACCGGAUAAGCCCUUACGGGGAAAGAUUUAUCGCCAAAGGAUCGGCCCGCGUCUGAUUAGCUAGUUGGUGAGGUAACGGCUCACCAAGGCUACGAUCAGUAGCUGGUCUGAGAGGAUGAUCAGCCACACUGGGACUGAGACACGGCCCAGACUCCUACGGGAGGCAGCAGUUAGGAAUCUUGGACAAUGGGCGCAAGCCUGAUCCAGCCAUGCCGCGUGAGUGAUGAAGGCCUUAGGGUUGUAAAGCUCUUUCAGCGGGGAAGAUAAUGACGGUACCCGCAGAAGAAGCCCCGGCUAACUUCGUGCCAGCAGCCGCAGUAACAC
rnacentral:rRNA from 1 species